GCGGAAGUGGCGGAAUUGGUAGACGCACCAGAUUUAGGUUCUGGCGCCGUAAGGUGUGAGAGUUCAAGUCUCUCCUUCCGCA
rfam:Vibrio sp. EJY3 chromosome 1, complete sequence.